rnacentral:rRNA from 1 species
AUAUAGGUCAAGCUACAAAGGGCGCAUGGUGAAUGCCUUGGCAUCAGGAGCCGAUGAAGGACGUGAUAAGCUGCGAUAAGCUUCGGGUAGGCGCACAUAGCCUGAGAUCCGAAGAUCUCCGAAUGAGGAAACUCACAUGGGAAACCCCAUGUAUCAUUAAGUGAAUACAUAGCUUAAUGAAGGUAACUCAGGGAACUGAAACAUCUAAGUACCUGGAGGAAGAGAAAGAAAAAUCGAUUUUCUUAGUAGCGGCGAGCGAAAGGGAAAGAGCCCAAACCGGAAACUUGUUUCCGGGGUUGUGGACAUAGCAUCAAAGUGGAGGCUAUUGUAACUGAAGAGAACUGGAAAGUUCCACCGUAGAAGGUAAUAGUCCUGUAAGUGAAACGAGAAGACCACGAGUUAUGAUCCAGAGUACCACGAGACACGUGAAACCUUGUGGGAAGCAGGGAGGACCACCUCCCAAGGCUAAAUACUACCUGAUGACCGAUAGUGAAGCAGUACCGUGAGGGAAAGGUGAAAAGAACCCCCGGGAGGGGAGUGAAAUAGAACCUGAAACCGUGUGCCUACAACCGCUCAGAGCCCCUUAUGAGGGUGAUGAGGUGCUUUUUGUAGAACGAGCCAACGAGUUACGGUAUGUAGCAAGGUUAAGUACUUAAGGUACGGAGCCGAAGGGAAACCGAGUCUGAAUAGGGCGACUAGUUGCAUGCCGUAGACCCGAAACCGGGUGACCUAUCCAUGGCCAGGUUGAAGCGAGGGUAAAACCUCGUGGAGGACCGAACCACGUUGCUGUUGAAAAAGCAUGGGAUGAGCUGUGGAUAGCGGA